CGGCCGUCUCCGCCUCUGCGGGUGGGAAAGCCAAGCCUUCAAUUGUGCUGAGUUACAGUCGGUCAGGAACCGCGGAAAGAGGGAGCUGGGUCGCUCGCCCUCUUCUCCCUGAGCCUUGCGCUCACAGCGCGCUGCUUGUGGGGGGCAGCGUCCGAAGAAUAUACCCCGGCUCCUUGCCGUUCUCUCUGCUCCCGCUCACUUUGGGUGGCCACCUUCCCACCCGGCCUGGGUCUUGGAAAGGCCUUUCUUCUGUCCUUAGGGCGUAAGUGCUCCAAACUGGGCCCCACUUCAGAAAACCCGAGUGUUCCGUGGUUGUGCACGACUCCCUUGCACGCCGCUGCUCUCUAUGUGGAGUAGAAGGGGCUGAGAUUUGAAAUCAGAAAACUUUUUAGUUUUAGUCCUCCGUUGCUCUUUGGUGGCUUGUUUUCAAGAACCCUGAGCCUGUUUAUCCUCUUGAAAAUUUGUGAAACCACCUUACCUCUCUCCUGCAAUGUUAGGUACUGCCUUUUGCAGGUUUCGACCGAAUUCUGGAGGUGCAGGCUGCUACUGGGCCUUGCUGUUUCUGGAAAGCAUGUAAGCAGUAAACAGAGGAAGCAACCUUACAUUAGAAAAAGGAAAGGCUCUACUUGGUUUCUUAGGUGUCAUUUUAGUUUGAUCCUAACUUAGGGUAGCUGGGAGCCUUACCACUACAGCUGGCUACCAGAGUUUAUGAUAGUCCAGGUCUAAACCGCAAGGAACAGACUUGCGAUCCUUACCUAACAUAGCUACCAUUUAUGGAAUCUGCUUUGUGCUUUACAAGCAAUAUUACAUUUAAUCUUAUAAUAACUGAAAUUGGUUAGUAUUUUCAGGUGGGGAAACUGAAUGACCUAGUUAAGAAACCCUCCCAGUAACAAGGCCCAGGUUUCAGUUCAUUAAGUCUGAAUUUACCCUCUAAAUUGAAACAAUUUACUUUUACUCUCCUUUUGAGAGCAGUCCUCGCUAGGAGUGGACUAAUGAGAGCUACUAGCAUGUCACACAACCCUCUGGAAUACAUUUUCUCUCACCAUAUACACUAUCUCCCCUCCAAUAACUUGAGGCUCCUUGAUGCUGUGGCACUAGGAGCUUAAGAUUCAUUAAAUCUGCCAUAAUAUACUUUCUUUCUCACACUCUUGUAAUGCAGUUGCUCAAUUUGUUGGUGUAUUCAAAUUAUGCUUCAAAACAAUUUCUAAAAUGGCAAGUCACUCUAGAAGUAAUCGCUAAUUAAAGCAUGUAUGCGAAUAAGUCAGAAAUGAAAAACAGCUUUGAAAAAAAGAUUCAGAGAAGUGAAUUGAAGAGAUAGGAAACAGUAAUUAGGAAUCAGGUGGCAAUUAGACCUCUGUAGGUAGGUAGAUCUUCCCUCUUCAAUUAGUAUAAUAGGCAGCAACCCCCAUCAGAAUCUGAAAUAAAUGGAGAAGCUGGGGAUGAACUUGAACCAGCCUGACCAGGAGGAAGAAGGGGCGAGUGAAGGUGGAAGACAAAACAAACUGCACCAGGCUGUUGCUCUGCGCCUGGGUGUCGGGGAGUGGAUGGAGCGCCUUGUCCAUGUUCCCUACGGCUUCUACCAGGGCUAUGGAAACACAAUGCCCUUGGGCCAGCCUGGACUCAAUGAGCACAAACAGCCAGACUGGAGGCAAAACACCGGUCCCCCCACUUUCCUGGCCAGGCCUGGGCUGUUGGUGCCUGCAAAUGCCUCCGACUACUGCAUGGACCCUUACAAGAGGGCACAGCUUAAGGCCAUUCUCUCCCAGAUGAACCCCAGCCUGAGCCUGCGGCUUUGCAAGGCUAACACCAAGGAGGUGGGUGUGCAGGUGAGCCCGCGGGUGGACAAGUCCGUGCAGUGCUCGCUGGGGCCUCGCACCUUGCGCAGCCGCUCCCCUUGGGGCCGUGCAGGCCACAGGGCACCCCUGCCAGCCUGGGGAGUCUACUCGCCAGUGAUAGGCCGCAGGGGCUUGAUCAGUCUUCGGAAGGAUGGGGAAGACGAGGAGAGGAAGAUGCUCUCGGGUCCUGCAGAGGCCAGCCCGCAGCAGCCACCAUCACCACCUGCCAAGUCGGAAGGGGACAGCCAGGAGGAACUCACGCAGCAUGAGGAGCUGGCGGAGGAAGAUGGCUCGAGUCCUCAGGAAAGGAAGAGCAAGCAGGCCCGGGCAGACGCCGCCGAUCCGCUCAGGAAACCCUGCUUCCAGUUUUUGGAACCAAAAUAUGGUUAUUUUCACUGUAAAGAUUGUAAGACCAGAUGGGAGAGUGCUUAUGUGUGGUGCAUUUCUGGAACUAAUAAGGUUUAUUUCAAACAACUCUGCUGCAAAUGCCACAAGAGUUUUAACCCUUAUCGAGUAGAAGCAAUCCAAUGUCAGGUUUGCUCACUGUACAACUUACAGAGCAGGAGCGCUCAAGGGCUGUUGGUCUUCACUCAGAUGCCUGUUUAAUACAACUACCUAUUCAGCACAAAUGGACUCUAAGGAUCCUGCUAAUAGUUGCUAGAAGAAUAAAAGUAACUUUUAUCUUGACAACAUGGUAAAUAACAGGCAUGUCAUUGUUUUAUUGGAUCACAAGGAUUUUCUCCAAGCUCUGUUCCUGUACUCCUGAUAUGGCUUGAUUUAUAAACUGGAUUAAGAGAUGUUGUGGCCAAGCUGUUUAUGCCUGUCACUUAUCGGCCAUGGAGCCUCGGAUAAGUCAAGCUUAGUUUCCUCAUCUGUAGAGUGGGGCUAAGGCUGCCUACCCUGCACCCAGGGAGAAUCAAA